rnacentral:miRNA from 1 species
AACUAGGCUUGUUCUUGGUAUGAGCUUUCAUGUGCAUGCGUAUCUGAAGAAGUGUGCAUGCACACGAAAGCUCAUACCAAGAACAAACUAAUUGGU